UACCAAACCCUGAACUAAAACUUCCCAACAAGUUAUUUUUGGACCAAACUAUUUUGAAUCAAUCAACUAAUAUUUCAAAUCUUCAUUUUUGAAAAUAUAGUAAAAGAGAGAAUAUAAAACCUUUAUAUAUUCCAGUCCCAUUUCUCUUUGAUUUCUCCACUGCUCUAAACUAUAUUCUUGAUCAUGACAUAACCAUAAAGGAGCUACGAGUAUCUGAUUCUCUCUUACCAUUUCAACCAAAUAAUAUUAGCAUUAAACUAUAAAAUGAAGCCGAUCAACAUAUACAUUUAUCACAACAUAAAUUCCUCAAAAACCCAAAGAGAAAAUGUUGCUGGAAAACCAUAACCACCAUUCCAAGCACCCUGCGGGUCUUAGCUGGCCAAACACUUACAUCAAGUGCUACAACAAUUCUGAGGAUCAAAAGAGGGUUUGUGUGGUAGAUUAUGACAGAGCUCCUACACUUCUUCGGCGUCAGAAGGUUGAAGAAGAUAUAGAUGAAGAAGCUGAGAACUUUAUUAAACUGGAACAUAAGAGGUUUAACAGGAGCAUGACUCGUUAAGAGCCUGAGCUUUUGUAACAGGUUACGGCAUGCAUGAUACUUCUUGUUUCUCUUCAAUUAGCUACAUAGAAUAAAGUUUCAUGUGUGCUCAGAAUUUUAUUUGCAGCUAAGAUCACAAUAAUAUAUUGUAAUGAAUAAGUUUUGCUCCUUUCUUUUUCUUCUGUAAUAAGUUACCCUGUAAUAACAAAGUACCUUGGUAAUUAGUUUAGUAGCAUGGCCAAAUGCAAAUACAGCAACAAAAGUCUUAUCUACUAGACAUGUCCAGUUCGGAUAAUACAUUGAAUCAUUGACAUAGUGAUAAAUGAAACAUACUAUUAUGUAAAUUACUUUUCUUUUUCUCUUUCUUUCUUCAUUGUUUUUUACAGAAACAGAGAAAGACUGUAUUAGGGUCCAGUAAGAUUUCACAAUCCUGCAAAUUUCACAUUAAUUUCUCGGAAUGAGAUUAUUGCCUCUGUUAGUUUUCUGAUUGCGGCUUUGAUCAGCAGUUUACAGUGUUGUUCGGUUAUAAUUAGUUUUUUAAUUUACACCAACAUGAGUCUGACAAAAAGCCAAGUGCGCAAAAGCAUGGUUUGAUUUGUUCAAAACCGUGAACAGAAUCCCACGGAUAUUCUUCUGAGUAUAAGUUUUGGCAUCUCUAGCAGGUCUGUAAAAGGCAUUUGCUUCCAGGGGAAUACUUCGGAAAAGAUGCAAAUCAUGUCGUAGAAAAAUAAGGGCCCAUCAAAGUUCAUAAAAAUUUAAAGAGGCC
rnacentral:lncRNA from 1 species